UACGGAGGGUGCGAGCGUUGUCCGGAAUCACUGGGCGUAAAGGGCGCGUAGGCGGCCUGAUAAGUAGGGGGUGAAAUCCUGCGGCUUAACCGCAGGGCUGCCUUCUAAACUGUCAGGCUAGAGCACGGUAGAGGCAGAUGGAAUUCCCGGUGUAGCGGUGAAAUGCGUAGAGAUCGGGAAGAACAUCGGUGGCGAAGGCGGCCAGCUGGGCCAUUGCUGACGCUGAUGCGCGACAGCGUGGGGAGCAAACAGG
rnacentral:rRNA from 1 species